CAGGGUUUGACAUCCUGAGACCGCUCCUGAAAGGGAGUUUCCCGCAAGGGCUCAGAGACAGGUGCUGCAUGGCUGUCGUCAGCUCGUGUCGUGAGAUGUUGGGUUAAGUCCCGCAACGAGCGCAACCCUCGCCUUUAGUUGCCAUCAUUAAGUUGGGCACUCUAGAGGGACCGCCGGCGACAAGCCGGAGGAAGGUGGGGAUGACGUCAAGUCCUCAUGGCCCUUACACCCUGGGCUACACACGUGCUACAAUGGCGGUGACAGUGAGCAGCUAGUUCGCGAGAACGUGCUAAUCUCAAAAAACCGUCCCAGUUCAGAUUGCACUCUGCAACUCGAGUGCAUGAAGGUGGAAUCGCUAGUAAUCGCAGAACAGCAGGCUGCGGUGAAUACGUUCCC
rnacentral:rRNA from 1 species